rnacentral:rRNA from 1 species
UACGUAGGGUGCAAGCGUUAAUCGGAAUUACUGGGCGUAAAGCGUGCGCAGGCGGUUCGUUGUGUCGGCGGUGAAAGCCCCGGGCUUAACCUGGGAAUGGCCGUUGAAACUGGCGAACUGGAGUGUGGCAGAGGGGGGUGGAAUUCCGCGUGUAGCAGUGAAAUGCGUAGAGAUGCGGAGGAACACCGAUGGCGAAGGCAGCCCCCCUGGGCUAACACUGACGCCUCAGGCACGAGAGCGUGGGGG